AGUGAACGCUGGCGGUAGGCCUAACACAUGCAAGUCGAACGGCAGCACAGUAAGAGCUUGCUCUUACGGGUGGCGAGUGGCGGACGGGUGAGGAAUACAUCGGAAUCUACUUUUUCGUGGGGGAUAACGUAGGGAAACUUACGCUAAUACCGCAUACGACCUACGGGUGAAAGCAGGGGAUCUUCGGACCUUGCGCGAUUGAAUGAGCCGACGUCGGAUUAGCUAGUUGGCGGGGUAAAGGCCCACCAAGGCGACGAUCCGUAGCUGGUCUGAGAGGAUAAUCAGCCACACUGGAACUGAGACACGGUCCAGACUCCUACGGGAGGCAGCAGUGGGGAAUAUUGGACAAUGGGCGCAAGCCUGAUCCAGCCAUACCGCGUGGGUGAAGAAGGCCUUCGGGUUGUAAAGCCCUUUUGUUGGGAAAGAAAAGCAGCAGGUUAAUACCCCGCUGUUCUGACGGUACCCAAAGAAUAAGCACCGGCUAACUUCGUG
rnacentral:rRNA from 1 species